ACUGCACCUGGGUUCAGAUAUGUUUGUGUGGCAAUCUGGAAGUCAAACAGCUGGCUUGUUGAUUUAAUCCUAAUACUGAUGAUCAAAACAUGUAAAUUAUAACAGGAAAUUACAUUAAUUUGUUAAGACUGCAUUCAACCGGUAUAAAAAAAUAGCAGUAAAAAUAACGCUUUUUGUGUUAGUUUCAGAUAAAAGCUUUCUUCUAAAAUGAAGCAUAACUGAAGCAACGAAAGCUUCCUUUUACAAAAAGGUGCCUUGAACAUAACAGCCACACAAACACGCACUUGUCCAAUCUCACUCCCCCAACAAUGUUAAAAAUAGCUCUUCUCUGCGUCUCCCGCCACCCUUCUUCCCUUUGCUUAUUCACAGUCGUCCUCUCACUUGUGCCCCCAGCCACCACCAAACCAGCAAACAAUGGGCUGCUUUGGUAGCCACAGAAACCCACACUGGUCUACGGAUGGUUAUAAUAAGCUCUCCCUCUCUCCGCUCCUCACUUCCUGGGUGUAGCUCGCUUCUCCGCUGCCGCUCUUGGCCGCCACCUUAUCAAACCACCUGCCAAAUGCCACUGCUGUCCAUCACACCGCUGCCUCGUCGAGGAUGUGUGAUUAUGCAUAAUAAGCCGGGACGGGUCACAGACAGACGGAGGGAGGAUGGAGGGGUGGAGGAGAGGAUGAAGACAGGAUGGCUGAUUCACAAACGGGUUGAGGUGCGGCCCGGUGUGAGCCACGCCGCAGACGAAUGACGGCGAGCCUCUGUGGCUCCGGUGGGUGAGAAUAUAGAGUUUAGAAAAAGAGGUGAGUCAAACCCAAACGGGUCCUAGUGUGUUGGAAUAUUUUUAGGAUCGUCUAUAUAUUAGUGACAAAAUAAUUAACAGCAAAAAAGCUGAUUAAUGUUCGGUUUAGAGAAUUACAACAGAAAAUCAUCAAAAAAGUAUCAAAAUACUAAUAUAAAAGUGGUAUUAAAAAUGUUGCAGUAAUAGAAACUAGCCAGAUAUUUACCAAAACUUUUAUUUCAAUACAAACUUUUCUGUCUCUUCAUAUGUCUUAUAUUCAUGGUGUAUUAAACAGCAUUUAAUCUGAAUUUCUAAAGGUAUUACUGACCAUCUCAUUAGAUGAUUCUUGAAUAUGAUGCUGUAAAAAUUGUGAAUCAUUCAUACAAUAUUUUUCAACUUUUCAUUUUGUGUCCCAACAUUUCCUCCAAAUACCUGAGGAGAGCCAAUCAAACCCAGGAUCAAGAAGGAAAAAAAGGCUAAAGAGUGAAAGGAGCGGUGAGAUGCAUGACAGAACAGGCAAGAAGCUUUUUAGCUCCAACCGGAAAUUUCAUUUGGCUAAUUGUUUUUCAUUCCUGGAAUUAUUCAGAUCUGAAAGUGAGAUAAUAUCAUUUUUAAGAACAUUAAGUGCUCUAAGAAAUGGGAGACGAAGGGUGAAGAGGUGGCAGACGACAUGACAAAAGAGAGAGAUGAACUACCUGGAAGAAGCCUGGGGGCAUGGGACCACCUGGCAUGGCAUCGUUGGGCGGCAUGUUGCCCAUCACCGGGCUGGGAGCUGCCGCCGCACUCUGAAACACAAAGACACAACCGUUAAAAAAAAAAAAAAAAAA